AGGUUAAAUUGAGUGAAAUGAGGAAUGGCUAAAAUGCAUGAUCUGUUUGGUAUUUUGAAAAAUAAAAAGUAUAAAUAUGCCUGAUAUAGGUAUUGUCCUACACUAUGUUAUUCAAAUAUAGCAUGAUAGGUCCACUU